rnacentral:lncRNA from 1 species
AAUGACUUAGUAGACGUGCUUAGAAGGCAGCUGAGCACACAGUGGGUGUCAAUCAAUGGGAACCCUCACUAGCAAUAGUAACGGAAUAUUCCAUUUGACCAAACAUCAAGGCUGACGUCUGACAAUGUCUUGCUCAAGUACAUUGACUCAUUUUUCCGAAAAAAUAAAUCUAAUUUUCAGCCUUUUCCUAGGACAGGUCCCUCAAUGGAAUGGCUCAAACAUUGUUCAGACACAGGGACUGAGGGCUUUGCUGGCAAACAGUCUUUUGCUGGCUCGCUGCCUACUUUUACCCUGGUCACCAACUUCUCCAAGUCCUCUUCGCAGAGCUUUUUGGGGUCCUUGUAAUAUUGUGGAACCACAUCACCCCCGUUCUUUGGGCUCUCGGCCAUGGGUUUUGUUGCUUUCCUUGCUACGGCAUCGUAGCCGUGAUCAUCUGCCACGGGCUGGUGCUGGUACUGCUCCAUCCACUUCACGGUUCCCGUUUUCAGCAAGCAUCUGUUCUCCUUGAACCAACGCACAAUCUCAGUUCGGACCAGGCCAGUCUUGGCCGCUAACUGGUCGUACUCCUGGGGAGUAGGCCACUGGGUUCUUGCAAACGUGCUCCUCAGGAGAUGCAUGUCCCUGCAAAGGACAUAAACUCAUUCUUUUUUUACAGCAAUUGGACUUUUGUUGGACAUUUAUUUCGUUUUUGGCUCUUAUCAACAAAACUGCAGUGAAUACCCUUAUUCCUUAUUUUUGAUAACUACCUUUGGAUGGAUGCCUAGAAGUGGUUCUCUUGACCCAUAUGUAUGGCAGAGUUUUGGCCUCAAUUGACCUUUUCUUUGGUAGUGUAUGACAGGGCUUGACUUACAAUCCAGCCUAUAUAGCUGGAUCCAGCCUAUUUACAGUAGUAAAUACUACUCACAAUCCAGCCUAUUUAACAGUAGUAAAAUACUACUGUUAAAAAGCCUUGCUGAUUAGAUAGGGAAAAACAGUUUCUUGGAUUUUUGUUUGUUUCUGAGACAGGGUCUGGCUCUGUCACCCAGGUUGGAGUGCAGUGGCACAAUUCUAGCUCACUGCAGCCUCUAUCUCCUGGGCUUAAGCAAUCCUCCUGCCUCAGCCUCCUGAGCAGCUGGAACU